GGUCUUUUAAGUCUGAUGUGAAAGCCCACGGCUUAACCGUGGAGGGUCAUUGGAAACUGGAGGACUUGAGUACAGAAGAGGAGAGUGGAAUUCCACGUGUAGCGGUGAAAUGCGUAGAGAUGUGGAGGAACACCAGUGGCGAAGGCGACUCUCUGGUCUGUAACUGACGCUGAGGAGCGAAAGCGUGGGGAGCGAACAGGAUUAGAUACCCUGGUAGUCCACGCCGUAAACGAUGAGUGCUAGGUGUUAGGGGGUUUCCGCCCCUUAGUGCUGAAGUUAACGCAUUAAGCACUCCGCCUGGGGAGUACGGCCGCAAGGCUGAAACUCAAAAGAAUUGACGGGGGCCCGCACAAGCGGUGGAGCAUGUGGUUUAAUUCGAAGCAACGCGAAGAACCUUACCAGGUCUUGACAUCCUCUGACAGCGGUAGAGAUACCGUGUUCCCUUCGGGGACAGAGUGACAGGUGGUGCAUGGUUGUCGUCAGCUCGUGUCGUGAGAUGUUGGGUUAAGUCCCGCAACGAGCGCAACCCUUGAUCUUAGUUGCCAGCAUUAAGUUGGGCACUCUAAGGUGACUGCCGGUGACAAACCAGAGGAAGGUGGGGAUGACGUCAAAUCAUCAUGCCCCUUAUGACCUGGGCUACACACGUGCUACAAUGGAUGGAACAAAGGGAAGCGAAGCCGCGAGGUGUAGCAAAUCCCAUAAAACCAUUCUCAGUUCGGAUUGUAGGCUGCAACUCGCCUACAUGAAGCCGGA
rnacentral:rRNA from 1 species